rnacentral:rRNA from 1 species
AUGGCUGCCAACUACUACUGGGGUAUGUGGGGCGCCGCCACAACCAGUAGUACAGCUGCUACCUGCCCGGCGCCGGCGUCAGCAGCUGAGCCGUCUUGGGAGGAGCAGGCGUUCGCGCGGGACGCCGCGGGCCACCUUGGUGCCGGCUGCGUGUGGCCGCCGCGCUCCUACACCUGCACCUUCUGCCGCCGAGAGUUCCGGUCUGCGCAAGCGCUCGGCGGCCACAUGAACGUGCACCGCCGCGACCGAGCUCGUCUCCGGCAGUGCGCCUCCCCGCCAGACCAUCAAGCACAGCCCCAGCCCACAAGCCCUCAUGAUCAUCAUGAGCACCUUCAGCCAGGGAUGCAGUAUAGGGCGGCAGUGCGCCCUGAAUCUCCACAGGAUCAGCAGGCCAGCAUGAUAGGCCCCUCUACUACCUCUCCUUCCUAUAUAUCAAGCAUCAUCAAAGAGAGCAGGAACAAGGUGUUCAUCUCCAUGCCUGCUGAGGAAGCCUCAGAAAGCGGCGAUGAGGGGGAAAGGAGGAAGCGCAGGCGUGUCGAUCAGCCUCCAGCGGUGGCGCUACCGUUCUUCCUGCGGCGGUCACCAGCAUCAAGUGAAAGAGAGGGAAUGCAAGGAGCUGACGGCGGUGAUACAAAGGUACCCAAAGCAGCCCCAAGCCCUAGCCUUCUCCUUCUUGGAGUAGGCCGGCAAGAAGUGGAUCUAGAGCUUAGGCUUGGGACUAGCUAG